AGCAGCCGCGGUAAUUCCAGCUCCAAUAGCGUAUAUUAAAGUUGUUGCAGUUAAAAAGCUCGUAGUUGAAUUUCGGGAUCAAUAUGUUGGUCGUGCCUUGGUACGUACUGGCGUCAUUGAUUUCUACCUUCUGAAGAACCUCGAUGUCAUUAAUUUGGUGUCUUGGGGAAUCAGGACUGUUACUUUGAAAAAAUUAGAGUGUUUAAAGCAAGCUCACGCUUGAAUACAUUAGCAUGGAAUAAUGAAAUAGGACGUUUGAUUCUAUUUUGUUGGUUUCUAGGAUCGACGUAAUGAUUAAUAGGGAUAGUUGGGGGCAUUAGUAUUCAAUUGUCAGAGGUGAAAUUCUUGGAUUUAUUGAAGACUAACUACUGCGAAAGCAUUUGCCAAGGAUGUUUUCAUUAAUCAAGAACGAAAGUUAGGGGAUCGAAGACGAUCAGAUACCGUCGUAGUCUUAACCAUAAACUAUGCCGACUAGGGAUCGGAUGAUGUUAAUUUUUUAAUGACUCAUUCGGCGCCUUAC
rnacentral:misc_RNA from 1 species